CAAAUUUAAAAUCUGGUGGUCUUUGGCCAUCCGAGUUGUAAUUUAGAGAAGCGUCUUCCGCGCUGGGCCGUGCACAAGUCUCCUGGAACGGAGCGUCAUAGAGGGUGAGAAUCCCGUCUUUGGCACGGACAUGCCAGGGCUUUUGUGAUGCGCUCUCGAAGAGUCGAGUUGUUUGGGAAUGCAGCUCAAAAUGGGUGGUGAACUCCAUCUAAAGCUAAAUAUUGGCGAGAGACCGAUAGCGAACAAGUACCGUGAGGGAAAGAUGAAAAGCACUUUGGAAAGAGAGUGAAACAGUACGUGAAAUUGUUGAAAGGGAAACGCUUGAAGUCAGUCGCGUCGACCGAGACUCAGCCUUGCCUUGGCUUGGUGUACUUCUCGGCUGACGGGUCAGCAUCAAUUUUGCCCCUUGGAUAAUGGCGAGGGAAAUGUGACACCUUUACGGUGUGUUAUAGUCUCUUGUCGCAUGCAAGGGUUGGGAUUGAGGAACUCAGCACGCGCCUUUGGGUGUCGGGGUUUUUGCCCACGAUACGUGCUUAGGAUGUUGGCGUAAUGGCUUUAAA
rnacentral:rRNA from 1 species